GACGAACGCUGGCGGCGUGCCUAAUACAUGCAAGUAGAACGCUGAAGGAGGAGCUUGCUCUUCUGGAUGAGUUGCGAACGGGUGAGUAACGCGUAGGUAACCUGCCUGGUAGCGGGGGAUAAAUAUUGGAAACGAUAGCUAAUACCGCAUAAGAGUAGAUGUUGCAUGACAUUUACUUAAAAGGUGCAAUUGCGUCACUACCAGAUGGACCUGCGUUGUAUUAGCUAGUUGGUGGGGUAACGGCUUACCAAGGCGACGAGACAUAGCCGACCGGUGUGGGGGGUCGGCGACCCUGGGACGGGGACACCGCCCAUACGCCUGCGAGACGGAGCAGUAUGGAAUCGGCGGCAAUGGACGGGAGUCUUGCCGAGCAACGCCGCGUGAGUUGAGAAGGCUCUCGGAUCGUGAAGACCGGUUGUAAGUGGAGAACGGGUUUGAGAGUGGAAGGUGCACGUUGUGACGGUAUCUGACCAGAAAGCGACGGCUAACUACGUG
rnacentral:rRNA from 1 species